UACCUUUUGCAUCAUGGUUUAACUAGAACAACUCUUCUUAAGAUCAAACCCGAAAUAUUAUGAGCUGUUCUUGUAUCGUUAAGAACCCACUUUAUUCUGUUGCAAUAGAAUAAGAAAAUACAAAAACAGAAGCUACAUACUAACCGCAUAAUAUAAUAGCUGGUUUCCCUCAAAAGUUAUAUAAGUAACAAAAAUAAAAUAUUAUUCUAAUAUAUAGAGGAAAAGCUCUAUAUAUCAUCCUAUUUUCCCAUAAUUACUCCUAGAAGUAGGCUUAAAAAUAGCCACCUAUUAAAAUGUUCCAAUUAUUUAACACAAAAUAAUUCUCUGAUAAAUGACAACUAAAGAGAAACUUCUAAAAACAACACAUAGAAAAAUACAAUGUUAAAACUAGUAUUAAUAACCAAUUCAACUUCCCCAUUAAACAUAUAGUUUAAAGGAACUCGGCAAAUAUCUAUUUCGACUGUUUAUCAAAAACAUAGCCUCAUGCCUCACCCAUAUAAGGUGACUCCUGCCCAGUGAUUUUAAACGGCCGCAGUACCCUGACUGUGCAAAGGUAGCAUAAUCACUUGCCUUUUAAUUGAAGGCUGGUAUGAAUGGACCUACGUAAAUAAAGCUGUCUCUAAACUACAUGUAAAAACUAGCCCUCAGGUGAAGAUACCUGAAUCAAAAUAAAGGACAAAAAGACCCUAUAGAGCUGCAUUUACUCAAAUCAAUAGCGAUCAAAAUACUACAUUUACUUCAAAGUAAAUUUUGUUGGGGCGACAAAGGAACACACAAAGCUUCCCCUAAAUAAAAAGAAAACAACUCUAUCUAAAGAUCCUCUAAAGAUCAAAGGAAAAAGCUACCUUAGGGAUAACAGGCUAAUCUCCCUAGAGAGUUCAAAUUGACAGGGAGGAUUGGCACCUCGAUGUUGGCUUAAGAUACCCCCUAGGUGCAGAAGCUUAGAAAGGUUGGUUUGUUCAACCAUUAAAAUCUUACAUGAGCUGAGUUCAGACCGGCGCAAGCCAGGUUAGUUUCUAUCCUUAUUUCAACCCUUAUUGAGCAGUACGAAAGGACCC
rnacentral:rRNA from 1 species